rnacentral:rRNA from 1 species
UACGAAGGGGGCUAGCGUUGCUCGGAAUUACUGGGCGUAAAGCGCACGUAGGCGGACAUUUAAGUCAGGGGUGAAAUCCCGGGGCUCAACCCCGGAACUGCCUUUGAUACUGGGUGUCUAGAGUGUGGAAGAGGUGAGUGGAAUUCCGAGUGUAGAGGUGAAAUUCGUAGAUAUUCGGAGGAACACCAGUGGCGAAGGCGGCUCACUGGUCCACUACUGACGCUGAGGUGCGAAAGCGUGGGGAGCAAACAGG